rnacentral:miRNA from 1 species
ACUUGUAUGUUUUUAGCCAUUGGA